rnacentral:rRNA from 2 species
UCGUAAAACUCUGUUGUUGGAGAAGAAUGUAUCUGAUAGUAACUGAUCAGGUAGUGACGGUAUCCAACCAGAAAGCCACGGCUAACUACGUGCCAGCAGCCGCGGUAAUACGUAGGUGGCAAGCGUUGUCCGGAUUUAUUGGGCGUAAAGCGAGCGCAGGCGGUUUCUUAAGUCUGAUGUGAAAGCCUUCGGCUCAACCGAAGAAGUGCAUCGGAAACUGGGAAACUUGAGUGCAGAAGAGGACAGUGGAACUCCAUGUGUAGCGGUGAAAUGCGUAGAUAUAUGGAAGAACACCAGUGGCGAAGGCGGCUGUCUGGUCUGUAACUGACGCUGAGGCUCGAAAGCAUGGGUAGCAAACAGGAUUAGAUACCCUGGUAGUCCAUGCCGUAAACGAUGAGUGCUAGGUGUUGGAGGGUUUCCGCCCUUCAGUGCCGCAGCUAACGCAUUAAGCACUCCGCCUGGGGAGUACGACCGCAAGGUUGAAACUCAAAGGAAUUGACGGGGGCCCGCACAAGCGGUGGAGCAUGUGGUUUAAUUCGAAGCAACGCGAAGAACCUUACCAGGUCUUGACAUCCUUUGACCACUCUAGAGAUAGAGCUUUCCCUUCGGGGACAAAGUGACAGGUGGUGCAUGGUUGUCGUCAGCUCGUGUCGUGAGAUGUUGGGUUAAGUCCCGCAACGAGCGCAACCCUUAUUACUAGUUGCCAGCAUUUAGUUGGGCACUCUAGUGAGACUGCCGGUGACAAACCGGAGGAAGGUGGGGACGACGUCAAAUCAUCAUGCCCCUUAUGACCUGGGCUAC